GUGUGAGCAGGGUUAAAUCCCUGCUCACACUAGGAAACCCAGGUAUCAUUAGAUACCUGGGGCUUCCCUCUGUCAGCUGGGGUUAUUUUUAGUGGCCCCAGGCUUUUUGAUGAGCUGCAUGCAGUGCUGAAAGUCAGCACUGCAUGUAGCCCUUUAAAUCCACAAAGAACACUGCAGCCGAGCGAUCUAGCUCCGCUACAGUCAUACUCU